ensembl:lncRNA PVT1 Pvt1 oncogene
AGUAACUUGUUCAACCUGGGAAUGGCAGAGCUGGGAUCUGAAGUCCGGGAGCCUGGCUCCGUAGGCCUCUGUUUAAGCCACUGCAUCUGUUGCCUUGUGGAAUGUUCUUAGAACUGUAGGAUACUGGUUCCCACAUGGCCGAGAGUCUUCUCUCACUAGUUCGUGCUCCAUGGUGAUGGAGAAGCAUAGUUCUAAUCUGUCAUUCUGUUGCUCUGGAGCCUACACAGCCCCCCAUCGCAUCUGGAGGGAGAAGCCCAGCUCCUUAGCACAGCACCUGAGAAAUACCCUUUACAGUCUGGCCACUGGCUGAACAUUCUUUCACUCUCCAUGCCACACUGCUCUAGCCAGUCUUGGUGCUCUGUGUUCACCUGGUUCAUCUGAGGAGCUGCAUCUACCCUGCCCAUGCCAUAGAUCCUGCCCUGUUUGCUUCUCCUGUUGCUGCUAGUGGACAUGAGGACAGAAUAACGGGCUCCCAGAUUCACAAGCCCCACCAAGAGGAUCACCCCAGGAACGCUUGGAGGCUGAGGAGUUCACUGAGGCUACUGCAUCUUGAGACUCAGGAUGAAGACCCAGCUUGGGGCUGUCAAAGGUUUUUUGCAUGUCUGACACCCAUGACUCCACCUGGACCUUAUGGCUCCACCCAGAAGCAAUUCAGCCCAACAGGAGGACAGCUUCAACCCAUUACGAUUUCAUCUCUGCCCCAACCACUCAGCAGCAAGCACCUGUUACCUGUCCACCCCCACCCCUUCCCCCAAACUGCCUUUGAAAAAUCCCUAACCUAUGAGCUUUGAAUAAGAUGAGUACGAACUUCAUCGCCCACGUGGCGUGGCCGGCCUCGUGUCUAUUAAAUUCUUUUUCUACUACAA